UACGGGAGGCAGCAGUGGGGAAUAUUGGACAAUGGGCGCAAGCCUGAUCCAGCAAUGCCGCGUGUGUGAAGAAGGCCUUCGGGUUGUAAAGCACUUUUAUCGGGAGCGAAAUACCACGGGUCAAUAACCUAUGGGGCUGACGGUACCCGAGGAAUAAGCACCGGCUAACUUCGUCCAGCAGCCGCGGUAAUACGAGGGUGCAAGCGUUAAUCGGAAUUACUGGGCGUAAAGGGUGCGUAGGCGGUUUGUUAAGUCUGUUGUGAAAUCCCCGGGCUCAACCUGGGAAUGGCAAUGGAUACUGGCAAGCUAGAGUGUGUCAGAGGAUGGUGGAAUUCCCGGUGUAGCGGUGAAAUGCGUAGAGAUCGGGAGGAACAUCAGUGGCGAAGGCGGCCAUCUGGGACAACACUGACGCUGAAGCACGAAAGCGUGGGGGCAAACAGGAUUAGAUACCCGGUAGUCCACGCCCUAAACGAUGCGAACUGGAUGUUGGUCUCAACUCGGAGAUCAGUGUCGAAGCUAACGCGUUAAGUUCGCCGCCUGGGGAGUACGGUCGCAAGACUGAAACUCAAAGGAAUUGACGGGGGCCCGCACAAGCGGUGGAGGUAUGUGGUUUAAUUCGAUGCAACGCGAAGAACCUUACCUGGCCUUGACAUGUCCGGAAUCGAGCAGAGAUGCUUGAGUGCCUUCGGGAUCGGAACACAGGUGCUGCUGGCUGUCGUCAGCUCGUGUCGUGAGAUGUUGGGUUAAGUCCCGCAACGAGCGCAACCCUUGUCCUUAGUUGCCAGCGAGUAAAGUCGGGAACUCUAAGGAGACUGCCGGUGACAAACCGGAGGAAGGUGGGGAUGACGUCAAGUCCUCAUGGCCCUUACGGCCAGGGCUACACACGUACUACAAUGGUCGGUACAGAGGGUUGCGAAGCCGCGAGGUGGAGCCAAUCCCAGAAAGCCGUCCCAGUCCGGAUCGAAGCUGCAACUCGACUUCGUGAAGUCGGAAUCGCUAGUAAUCGCGGAUCAGCUAUGCCGCGGUGAAUACGUUCCCGGGCCUUGUACACACCGCCCGUCACACCAUGGGAGUGGGUUGCUCCAGAAGGCCGUUAGUCUAACCGCAAGGAGGACGACGCCCACGGAGUGAUUCAUGACUGGGGUGAAGUCGUAACAAGGUAACC
rnacentral:rRNA from 1 species